UACGUAGGGUGCGAGCGUUGUCCGGAAUUAUUGGGCGUAAAGAGCGUGUAGGCGGCCAUACAGGUCCGUUGUGAAAACUGGAGGCUUAACCUCCAGACGUCGAUGGAAACCGUAUGACUAGAGUCCGGAAGAGGAGAGUGGAAUUCCUGGUGUAGCGGUGAAAUGCGCAGAUAUCAGGAAGAACACCCGUGGCGAAGGCGGCUCUCUGGGACGGUACUGACGCUGAGACGCGAAAGCGUGGGGAGCGAACAGG
rnacentral:rRNA from 1 species